rnacentral:rRNA from 1 species
UACAGAGGGUGCGAGCGUUAAUCGGAAUUACUGGGCGUAAAGCGCGCGUAGGCGGCUUUGCAAGUCGGGUGUGAAAUCCCCAGGCUUAACCUGGGAACUGCAUUCGAGACUGCAUUGCUAGAGUAUGGGAGAGGGAAGUGGAAUUUCCGGUGUAGCGGUGAAAUGCGUAGAUAUCAAGCGGAACACCGGUGGCGAAGGCGGCCUUCUGGACAGUGACUGACGCUGAGACGCGAAAGCGUGGGGAGCAAACAGG